UUGCCCUACGGGAGGCAGCAGUGAGGAAUAUUGGUCAAUGGGCGCGAGCCUGAACCAGCCAAGUCGCGUGAGGGAAGACGGUCCUAUGGAUUGUAAACCUCUUUUGUCGGGGAGCAAAAGACGCCACGUGUGGCGUUCCGAGAGUACCCGAAGAAAAAGCAUCGGCUAACUCCGUGCCAGCAGCGGCGGUAAUACGGAGGAUGCGGGUGUUAUCCGGGUUUAUUGGGUUUAAAGGGUGCGCAGGCGGAAGAUCAAGUCAGCGGUA
rnacentral:rRNA from 1 species